CGAAAAGGCCAAUAUAUAUUGCUUACAAAAAAAGGGCUGUCCCCCCUGAAAAAGGGAUGGUUGGGCUGAUUGUGUGUAUGUAGGACAAGUCUCGGCAUGUAUGCACUAAUCUAUCCCCACAGAAACAGAGAUGAUAGCUCUCUUUGGAUUGUCCAGCACUUGGCAAAGGUGCUGUCAGGCAUUCUGGAGCAGCAAGCCAGCAUCCCCCAGUACAAAUCUGUGGCUCAGCCACACAUCCUUCUGGGGGCUCCCAGGAAACCCACACCACUGCACCUUGGAUCUCAGCGGGGAUGCCAGGAGGGAGCCAGAACUCUGCUUCCCACCAGGAUUCUCUCCUGCCCUGUGCAGCAUUGAUUGAAAUUGAAGGCCCUGUUGAUGAGGGGGCGGAAAAGUCUGUUACUUUAUCAGGUGAUGUUCUCUGAUGACAUGUAAGUGUGGUUUUCCUGUCAUUUACACCAAUGUAAAUCUGGAGUAACUCUACUGAAGUCAAUGGAGUCACAUCAGUGUAUAACCAGUGUGAGAGGACACUCUGGCCCUCUAUAUUCUGUAAUUACAUGAACGUGUCAAGCUGUGAAAUCUUUGAAUCAAAACUUAACACUGCAGAACCAGAAGAUGGGCUGAAUUACUGUAGGUGUUGAUUUCUGGAUGAGAAUCAAGUAUUGGCAAGUCUUCCGGAAAUGUCAGCUCUUCGCCAACUUAAUCCGUUCAUACAGGGUAGCUAAGGUCCCAGUCCUGCAAAGUGCUGGUUGCUCUUGGCUCCCACGGAAGACAGUGGAAGUUGUGGGCACACAGUACUUCUGAAGGAGGUACUCAGCACCUUUCAGAAUCAAGGUCUAUGUGAGUGAACAUCCAGACCCAGAUCCUUAGCUGGAACACAUCAGUGUGGCUGCAUUGAAGUCAGUGAAGAUGGGCAUAUUAUUUCCUGAUGUCUUGUCAGUACUUGAUUCCUGUCCAAAACUCUAUCCCAGCCUAUCUCCUGGUACCAAAAUGUUCUGUUUUGACUCUCACAAAGAAUUCCAGCCUGGCUCAUUAAUUUUACUAAAAUAUGAAGUCAAUGGAGCUAUCCCUAUUUACAUCAGCUAAGGAUCUGGUUCCCAGUGUUCAGUUGCUUUCACAACAGAGCAAUAACAUGUUGGGCCUGAUUCUCCACUCCACCAGUUUUAGACUGGUGUAAUUCCAGAGGUACGCCAGUGGAACAGAACGAGGCCUAAUAUUUAGAGGAAAGGAGUUAGUCCCAAAACAUAUUGUCUUGCUCCCUGAGUCCCAAUCCCAUGACCAAUGUUUCUCACAGGUACCAUAUUCAAUAUUUUAUUUAACAAUAAUUACAAUUUUUCAAAUAAGAAAAGGCAGAAAAAAGAUGCUUAAAUAAAUUUGUUACAAAGUCAUUAAACCACUUCAAACGUGAGCAAUAUGUAAGGCUGAUGUAAUACAUCUUUCUUGUAAAAAAGGGGAUUUAAUGGAAUUUCAGAGCCAGAAGCUCAGCUGGUAUAAAUCAGCUGAAAUUGAUUUCAAUGGCGCAAUGGGCCAAUUUACACCAGCUGCGGACUUGGGCCUCAGGGAUGGUUUAUAUCAAAGACCAAUGCUGGUGGCAUGAAAAUGAGGCAAAGAGGUUUGUAGAUUUUCCCAGAAUAAUAACACAAAAUAAAAGCAGCAUUUUAGUAAGUACAAAAUCACUGCCAUGAUUCAUUUUGAAUUAAUAUGCUCUAAUUUUAGCAACCACUAUCUCAGAGCAUAUGGACAUAGUAUGUCUCCCAUAAAGAAUGGAUGAGUGUAGGUGGGGAAGAUAGCACUGCCUGUCAUUAAGGUUGCCUGACCCUUCCCAUUCUAAGACCAUGUUUUCAGUUGUUUAUAACUUUGCCAAAUUUUAACCGUUUGGGCUAAAUGCCUCAGGCUGAAGGUUUUUGGAAAAUUUUAGCCACGAGAGUUCUGCUGUUUCCAAGAAGGAGGCUAGGAAAUAAUACAUUCUUUUGCCCAUUAAAAUGAAAUUCUAGUGGCCUUUCUUUAAGAAGCUCUCACUCCCCCCAUGCUUUGGACUUGAAAUCUGGCAAAGGGUGGACUUUCUGUCCGGACUGUGCUUUUUGCCCUGUGAAUAUCCCCCUAAAUAUGGCCAUGUUAUAAGCUUUGAAUAAUUGCAGUUUGCACAUGUUCAGUAGAGACUUGCUAAAGUCUAAAGCUAAAAUCUCUAAAGAUUCUCAGUGUGCACUAAGGGCAUCAUUUGCUAUGAGUCAAGAGGAAGAAGAGGGGCAGUUGUCCUUACCCCGGGUCUUGGUUUGUUCCCUCCAGACUUUGGAUGAAGCAAUGGGAAAGCAAUAAUUGCCUCAUUUUUCUUAUUCGUGAUGAUAUUCAGGACAGAGAAUGUUCUACAUGCUCUUAUUAAACCUCCACCCCACCCAUGAAUUUUUCUGAAAUGACAUCUCUGGUGUACUCCAGCCUCUCAGCACCUAGUGCUGACCAGACUGAACAUGCACCAUCCCCACAGAGAAACUGAGCAUGCUCCAGCCCAGGGUCACAGAAGCCUUUUAGGACUUUCCCUAUAUGACUGCUCCCAGCUGGGGUGGGUAUAGGGUUCCAGAACUGAGAGCGGGGAGCCUGUCUCUCCUCCUCUCAAUGACACUCAUGCAGCAUGGAGGGGGAAGCCAUCUGAUUCAAAUGCAAAGGGGACACAAGGUGGACCAGCGGAGAGAAAGAAGUAGAUUGGGACAAGCAGUUCUGUGAGACUGGGACCAGAGGUGGGGCCAGAGAAACUGAAUGGGACUGGCUAGGCUGCAGGUAAGGAGAAAGAACUGGAAGCCACUGGGGAGACUGGGACUGGGAAGUGGGAAAUGAGGCUGGAACUGGUUGAGCAAGUGUAACAUUGACAGACUCUGGUUAUUGGCCAGCAGGAUUGAACCGAGGACGUCUGGAGCUAAGUGCAUGAGCCUCUACGCAUGAGCUAAAAGCCAGCUGGCUUUAGAGAGAUUGAGUCUGCACUACAACCUUAACUAAGUGGUCUCGGUGCCACUAGCUGGGACAGAACACCACAUCCAGGAGGUGUGAGGGUUACGCAAGGAGACUGGGAUUGAGACUAGGGGGAAGGGUGGUGGGGACACAUAUUGUAUGAGGAGCUGAGAAGGAGACAGAGUAGGAACAUGUAAUGGGGGAGAACAGGGGCAGAUUGGAGGGGAGACAGAUUUGACAAGGAGCUUGAGGAAGUGGGGAGAACUUGGACAGACUGGGCAAAGAGACUAGGACAAGGAGCCAGGAAGGGGAUGCAAGGGAGACUGAAAUUGGAUGAGGGGCCCAGCAAGGGAGAUCAGGCUAGACAAGAAGUUUGGAGUGGGGAAAAUGAGACUGUUUGGGCAGGAGACUGGAUAUGGGAAGGGAAGGGAAGGGAAGGGACUGAGAAUGGGAAGACUGGGAACUCCAUUAGUUCAAGAGACAAAGGUCAUUUCAGUGGAUUUAAAGGGUCCAAUGCAGCUGAUGAGCGGGGUUGGGGGGGACACAAUCUGAUGCAACAUGAUGGAAUUUGCUUGUUCUGUAAAACCGAGCAGGUUACACACACACACACACACACACACACAGAAACUUAAAACAUGAUCUAAGAUUUUCAGGUCAAGCACUCAAAAGUUAGGAAAUGUAAAAAUUAAAGUUGUCUGUGCAACCAUUAAUCUGGCCCCCUUCUCUGUCUGCUGUGAGAGUCUUACAUGAUCCCAUAUGAUUUUUUCACCCCUGCAUGGAACAUAUGGCGCUCACUUAGUGACAGCAAUUAAAUAUUUUGUUUUGUCCUUAUUGUUCAGUGCAUGGCCCCAGGCCCCAUUUACUGCAUACUAUUCAAACCCCACUGUGAAGAUAGAAUUAUGAAUUUCCUCAUGGGAUUUUCUAUGGCAUUCAUCUAUAUCCGAGUGCUUCCCAAACACCAGUGAAUCUAUUUACUCAACUCCCCUAUGAGAUGAUGGGGUAUUAUCCUCAUUUGAAAUAUGGGGAACUGAUGCACAGAGAGAUUAAGGUCAAAAGCAUCCACUAAUUUUGAAUGCCCACCAAUG